UCUGGUUGAUCCUGCCAGUGGACAUAUGCUUGUCUCAAAGAUUAAGCCAUGCAAGUGUGAGUGCUUCGUCCGAAAAGGAGGGGGGACUGCGAAAGGCUCAUUAAAACAGUUAUUGGAUCAAGAUGGUGAGAGGCGUAACAGAGAGGAUAAGGGUGUGAAAAUAGAGCUAAAACAUGGGAGGGGGACUCUGACAAAAGCCUCUUGAAAGAGAGGUGAAUUGAAGAAGGGGUCUACAGAAUUUCAAUCGUUUGGAUUGAGAGAGAUCAUGUGAGUAUCUGACCUAUCAACUGGGGAUGGUAGUAUAGGGGACUACGAUGGUGGUGACGGGUGACGGAGGAUCAGGGUUUGACACCGGAGAGGGGGCCUGAGAGAUGGCCACCACUUCUAAGGGAGGCAGCAGGCGCGAAAAUUACCCAAUGCCGGAAGGGUGAGGUAGUGACAAGGAAUAGUCCCGAGCAAUGUGAAAAACGUUGUUUCAAAGGACGAUGGAAGGAGGACAGAGAGGUCCUUGAGAAACGAUUAGAGGGAAAGUCUGGUGCCAGCAGCCGCGGUAAUUCCAGCUCUAAAAGCGUAUUCUAAAGUUGUUGCAGUUAAAAAGCUCGUAGUCGAGAACAUCUUGGUGUUGUGAAAGACACUGGGACGGAGGCGGAUUGAGGAAAGGAGAGUGCUUCAGGGUAAAGUGGGAGAGCUUGGGACGCCUCGACCAUCACACUUUUGUUGGUGGUUGUGAGAAGAGAAAGCAGUGGAGGAUAUGUGUAUUUCAUGGACAGAGGUGAAAUUCUAUGACCCAUGAAAGACGAUCGGGGGCGAAAGCGCUUGUCUCUUGGCCGUUCAUUGAUAAAGAACGAAAGUUGGGGGAUCGAAGAUGAUUAGAUACCGUCGUAGUCCCAGACCAUAAACGAUGCUAACGAUGGACGCGCGCAGUCGGAUUCCUUUCAAUGGGAAUGCGGGACGCGCGCGGACAUUGCGGAGAAAUCACGAGUGUUUGAGUUCCGGGGGGAGUAUGGUUGCAAGACUGAAACUUAAAGGAAUUGACGGAGGGGCACCACAAGGCGUGGAGCUUGCGGCUUAAUUUGACUCAACACGGAGAAACCUACCAGACCAAGACGUCCGGAGGAUUGACAGACGAGGAGGUCCUUCAGAGGAUCGGAUGGGGGGUGGUGCAUGGCCGUUCUUAGUUGGUGGAGCGAUCUGUCAGGCCAAUCCCGAUAACGAACGAGAUUUCAGUGGGAGGGGCGCUCACAGCAUUGAGAGAUGAUGUGAGAGGCUAUCCCAGAUGGACAGACAACAAAACUGUAGGAAGAGUGAAGUGAUAACAGGUCUGUGAUGCCCUCAGAUGGUUUGGGCUGCACGCGUGCUACAAUGAUAGAGAGAGAGAGCCACGGACGGCACGAGAGUGACCGUCUGGAGGACGCAUCGAAGGAUGUGUCGAAGGGAUGGAGCAUCUCAUCAUCUUUUAGUGAUCAAGACGGGGACAAACGCUUGGAAUUAUUCGUUUCGAACGAGGAAUGCCUCGUAAGUGCAAGUCAACAGCUUGUAUUGAUUGGGUCCCUGCCCCUUGUACACACCGCCCGUCGCUGCUACCGAUUGAACAGUAAAUGUGAAAUGGGAGGACUCCUUACCGACGAAAGAAGGGGAGGGGGAAAAUCAUUCAACGUUUAUGUUUAGAGGAAGCAAAAGUCGUAACAAGGUUUCCGUAGGUGAACCUGCGGAAG
rnacentral:rRNA from 1 species